rnacentral:lncRNA from 1 species
UCUAGGGAUAUAUAGGUUCUGAGAUAAAAAGUUAUAUAUAUAUAUAUAUAUUUGCAGAGACAUCCAAGUUUUUUCUUCAUAUUACACUGUUUCACAAGUCAAAAUACCUGUAACUGCAGCUUCAGGGAGACCAGAGCUCUGGUGUCCUCAGGCAUCUGCACUAAAUUGCACAGACCCGCACAGUGAUGCAUUCAUCUACAUGAACAUGAUAAAAAUAUAAUACAAUAAUACAUAUAAUGCAACAUAAUAUCAUAACAUAAUGAAACAUAAAAUAACAGCAAUGUAGUAUAUUACAAUAGAUGAUAUGAUGCAAUAAACAUCUUUUCAUUGUAGUUAUACUGCUAUCUGGGCUUGUAGGGUCUCACUAACCAAUAACUUACAUAACACUGAGAUUAUUGUUUAGAAUCUCUAUUGACAUAGAUUCAUCAUCAUUUAGCCAUGAAUAAGCCAUCUCCCUUCAAUCUUUCUUUUAUAUACUUAGUAGGGUACGAUCAUUCAUAUUUCAGCAGAUGUUCUCAGUGUCUUCUGUCUUCUGUGUUACCCUGUCUGAUUCAGAGACAUAACGAGUCCCAUCCUCUGCUUUUCACUGCACCCGGGUUUUAAUCUUGAAAACGAAAAAAAAAAAAAAAAAAAAAAAAAAAAAGAGGUCAUAUUUUCUUAAUCAUCUUCUAUUUGCGAAAUUUUAAGAGUUUCCUUACUUUAAAAACAAUACUUCAGUUUAUGUCUGGGUGACAAUCAGUAGUGGUUUCUCAAUGGUUUCUUCAACAAGUGCAAUUUGUGAUAGCUCUUUUCAAGUUGUUUAAUAAACUUUCCCCCUUUUUAUUACAGGUUGUUAGAGUUGAUUUAAUUUUUGAGAUGCUUCCAUCAGUGGACAAUAUGUGACAUCCUUAAUUUCACACUUUUAGAACCUGAUUGGUUGGCUGUACUCACCAUAUGCUCUUCCCUUGUGCUCCAAGCCUCACCUCAUUGCUUUAGUGUUGGUUUGUAUUUACCAGGCCAUGGUUAGUACUUUGUUUUGGAAUUCCCUAAAGUAGUCAUUUUUAUCUUCAGAAUAUAGAAUUUACUUGCUGUUCUUUUAAAUAUUUACUAAAUAUUUUGCAAUUUAAACUUCAGAGAAUAUUUCCCAGUAUGAUAUCACUCGUAUUUGCCACAAUGUAAUAAAUAGCCAUAAUUACUAUUCAGAAUAUAGAUUUUCUUUGGAAUCUAAAAUAGCCUUACCAUUCUCACCAUUAUGGCAUAUAAUUUAUUUUCAGUCAUAUGAUUAGUAUGUUUCAAACAAUAUUGUGUAUUUUCUCAUACAUAUUUUAUGAUUUGUGCUGUCUUUGAAUGUAUCUUUUCUUUCAAUUAGGUAUUUAUUGUCAUAUGUCAUCUUUGUUUUGUUUUGUGCACACCAUUGGGUUUAUUAUAAAAUAUUAUUAAUAAAAAUAUCAAUCUUUAAAUUCAUCUAAUUUAGAUUUGUUUAACUUUUUAUUCUUCAUAUUUUAAGGACUUUUAAAGUUGUUUCUUUGAAUAUUUGUUUCUUAUUAUAGCUUACUUUAUCUUGUUUCUUUCAUGUUUUGAACAACAUAAUGUAUUCUUGCAUUAGAAAACAUCAGUGAGUUUAUGAUGGCAUAAAAGACUUGAAGGUAAUCAGAGACUCUCUUAUCAAGGCAUCAAUGUCCUUUCAAAAGUCAAUUUACAAUCACCUAGUACAAGUUAACAAAAUUGUGAUUUAAAAAAAAUUCUAAAAAAUAUUCAUCUUUUUGACUGUGGUAUUAAGGGCUUUUUCUCUUUUUACAAUAUAAUAUGCAGCUAAUACUGAGCCUCACAAUGCCUAAAACGUAAUAAUUUUAUGUCAACUAACUGAGAUAAUUUUGAAUUUAAAAUAAAGGACAAAAGAGAAAAGGAGAUAGCUUAAAAUCAAGAAUUCAGACAAGCACAUUCAACAGUUAUCAUCUGGGACAGUGGAGGAACUGACCUGGCUGCUAUUCCAUUUUAAAUAUCCCAUCUGUACCAUUGCAUCCCUGAAGUAAAGUAUAAUGAGAGUGUGGUGUCACAGUCAAAACAGUGGAAGUGUCACGAAGCUGAAAGGAUUGACUUCAUCUGUUUUAUGUGAAGAGUAUGCUGCUAAGGUAUGUCUGACACAAGUUACUAGGGAAUAGUUUGAGAAUUAUCAUGUGAUUUUUAUGUUUAAAUGUUGUUUUCUUUCAGUUUUCCCUAUAGGAGACUACUUAGCUAAUCCCUGAACAUACUUAUUGUGAUUUGACAGUAGAUUGGUUCAUAGUGAAUUUUGGGGAGGAACUAAGAUGCUGCAAAUAUCUCAAAGUAACCAUGCUUUGGUAACAUUUCAGAAAUGUAAACACAAUUGUACUUCAAAGAGAGAUGAUUUUCAUUACUUGAGCUGUUUCUGAUCUGUAGAAGGUUGUACUUUGGUGGAAUUUUUCUUUCUUUUUUUUUAUUGUUACAUUUAUUUAUUUAUUUAUUUAUUUAUUUAUUUAUUUAUUUAACAGUCCAGACAUUGCCCCCAUCCUGGUUCCCCUUCCCACAAUUCCUUAUCCAAUUCCUCCUCUCUCUGUCUCCAAUAGAAUAGUCCCUUGAUUUUUUAACACUUUCUACAUUCAAUCUUAGAUCUCCCUCACCAGUUUUCUGGUAUAUAAAUUGUAGCUAC